AGGGCCAGUUCAUUGACAGCAGGAAAGGGGCAGAGAAGCUGCUGGGCUCCCUGGACAUUGACCACAACCAGUACAAGUUCGGCCACACCAAGGUGUUCUUCAAGGCGGGGCUGCUGGGGCUCCUGGAAGAGAUGCGUGAUGAGAGGCUGAGCCGCAUCAUCACCCGCAUCCAGGCCCAGUCUCGGGGUGUGCUCUCCAGAAUGGAGUACAAGAAACUGCUGGAACGCAGAGACUCCCUGCUGGUAAUCCAGUGGAACAUUCGGGCCUUCAUGGGGGUCAAGAACUGGCCCUGGAUGAAGCUCUACUUCAAGAUCAAGCCACUACUCAAGAGUGCAGAGACAGAGAAGGAGAUGGCCA